AUCCCACACACUCUCCUCAUGGCCCCCAGCACCUCCUUGUUCCUCAGGCUGUAGAUGAUGGGAUUGAGCAUGGGGGUGAGGAUGGUGUAGAAGACUGCAAGGAUCUUAUCCUCUGCUGGGGAGCGGAGAGUCUUGGGACGGAGAUAAGUGUAGACAAAAGGAGCAUAGUAAAAUGUCACCACAGUUAAAUGUGUGGAGCACGUGUUGAAGGCCUUUUUCCUUCCCUCUUUUGAGCGCAUGUGGAAGACAGCAAAAAGGACCCGUCCAUAGGAGGCCGUGAUGCCAAGGAAUUGGACGAGGAGAAACAGGCUUGUGCUCACAAACACCAUGUACUCAUAGUCCCAGGUGUCCACACAGGCCAGGGGCAACAUGGCAGGGACAUCACAGAAGAAAUGAUUGAUGGCCCUGGACCUGCAAUAAGGAAGAUGAAGGGCAUAGACAGUGUGUGCCAUGGAGUUGAUGGAGCCCAGUGUCCAGGACCCCAGGAUCAUCUUCCCACACUUCAUUUUACUCAUGCGAAUGGGGUAGUGGAGGGGGUGGCAGAUGGCCACAAAGCGGUCAUAGGCCAUGGAGGCCAGAAGUAAGCCUUCAGAACAUGCCAUUGUCAGAAAGAAGAAGCUUUGCACACCACAGCCCAGGAAGGAGAUGCUCUUCUGGCCAGAGAGGAAGUUGAUGGCCAUCUUGGGGACAGUGGUGGAGAUGUACAUCAGGUCCAUGAGGGAGAGCUGGCUGAGGAGAAAGUACAUGGGGGUGUGGAGCCGGGGGUCCAAGAAGAUGAGGGCAGUCAUCCCUGAGUUCCCCAAACAGGCGAGAACAAACACAGAGAUGAUCAGGAGCAAGAGAAGUAGGCCUUUAUGAUUCGGGGGAAACAACCCCAACAAAAUAAAGUCAUCUGAAGUUUGGUUCCAUUUCUCCAUGAAAACCUACUGCUUUAAAUUCCUUGAAAGAAAAUGAAAAACAAAUGCUAAGCAAUAUGCAUAAAAUGAAACUAGAAGAAAGAAUAAGAAGGAAUUGACUUUAUUAAUAAUUUAUUUUCCUUCAACACCAUAUCCUUGUUCAACUGUAUUUAAGACCUGAAUGGAAUGUUCCUGCCCCAGUUCUCUCUGUAACCAUCUCAGCACAUCCUGGACACAUACAUGGUCUUGCAAUACAAAGUCUAUACCAGGCACAGGAAACCCAGUGAGGUAGCUGGAGCCUUCCUGCCUGCUGACUCCUGGCAGGAGCAUUCCUAGGACUAUGCACCAGGCUCAGCCCCAGAGGAAGCCAGGAUCCUGCUUUCCCAGCUCCCCAACUCAGCACUCAGGUUCACCACAGACAUGGCCUGUGGGGCGCAGAAGUGCCCUGUGUGCUUGAGUCUGCAUCCUCAGUGACCUCGCCUCCUCCACACCUUUAGUGCCUGCUCUCCCCUCCCCACUGGCAGUGCUGCAGCUGAGUAAGCCAGGGUCUUCUCCCAGAGCUGUGCUGCUCACCUCCUAAACAGAAGCUGCUCGGCUGGUCCUAGAAGUGGGUCAUCAUUUAAAAGCAUCUUUCUUAAGUUGUAAAGGUAUCCUGAGUCCCUUAAGAUCCACCCUAGUUAUAAUGCAUUGUUUGUAUAUUUUCUCCUAGUAAGUUUUCCAUUUUCUAAAGCCCUAAAAAAUGAAAAUCAAGCACAUAGAUUUUCAUAAAAAUUUUCCUUUCUUUGAGUAAGCAAAUUAAAAUGAUAAAAAUGACAGAUUUAACAAUAUGCAAGUUUUCAUUCUGUCUGACAUGGUGGCAUGCUAGAACUCAUAUCAUAAUGGAAACAUACAUAGAUAUGGAAAAAUUAAACACACCAUCAGACAUUCCUUCUGUCUAUGUAGAAAUCUUUGAUAAGACAUAACUUGUAUGAACUCUUUUUCAGAUUACUUAAUUGAUUAUAAUCUGC
rnacentral:lncRNA from 1 species